CACGUAGGCGGCAAUAUAAGUCUCAGGUGAAAUCCCUCGGCUCAACCGAGGAACUGCCUGCGAAACUGCAUUGCUUGAGUCCGGGAGGGGGGAGCGGAAUUCCCAGUGUAGCGGUGAAAUGCGUAGAUACUGGGAGGAACACCGGUGGCGAAGGCGGCUCCCUGGACCGGUACUGACGCUGAGGUGCGAAAGCGUGGGUAGCAAACAGGAUUAGAUACCCUGGUAGUCC
rnacentral:rRNA from 1 species